CCGAGAGAGACGGGAAAGCCCUGGAGAAGUUUGGGGAGGAAAGGAGCGGGCUUCGUGGCGAGCGGUGGCUGCUCCAGCAGGGCGCCGCGGUGGUCGAGUCCGAGACCGGAGGAACAAAACGCUGACCAGACAAAACCUGUUCUGGUUAGAGGAGGGGAAACGUGUGGUGGGAAGCGCGUCUUGCGGCCUCAGCCUGGGCGCUGUGAGUCCUCACGCGACUUGGCGGCCUUGUGAUGGCGUUUCUAUGGAAAAAGCAAUAGUAUGUAUGGAGAAAGAUGGAGUGAUUUGAAGAUGAGAGGAUGAGGAAGUUCCUUUCUGAUGGGUUCUAUCAGAUUGAUGAAUGAUGCAAGGGACAAACUAUGAAUGAAGUGGAGUGUUAAAUGAAAUGGAGAGGCCUGAGAGAAGUGAAGAAAAACCAGGCAGCUGUCUAGAAAAAGAGCACUCCUGUUGCAAGGGAAACAGAUGCAAAGAUGGAAGCAUGCUUGGAUGUUCAAAGGGAUAUCAACCAGUGUGGCAGAAGCAGAGUGACAAAGAAGAGUGUUAGGAAAUGAGCCUGGAGAAGUAACCAGAGUCCAAAUUAUACAGGACAUGUGGGGCUAUUUCUAGGAUGUUUGAGUCUAUUCUAAGGAAGAUAGAAAACACUAAGUGAUUUAAAACAGGUAAGGAAUCACUCUGGCUUAUAGCCACAGUAUUGAGUUCAAUUUAUAGAAAAUGUACCUGACAUCAAUGCCUAGAUUACCAAUUUUGAAACAGAAAUACCUGAAUGUACUACCUAAGUCUUCCCUAAGUAGCUUGGUAACUUAGGAGAGACCCUGAAACCCUUCACACCUAAGUCUCCUCAUCUGUCAAGUAAGGAAUUGAUUAAAGUUCCUUCCAAGUCUGUCAUUCUCUGAUUCUGGAAAGUGAAAUAGACUGUAUUAUUACCUCUUUUACUUAAACCAGUGAUUCUCAACUAGGGGAAAUUUUGUACCACAGGACAAUGUCCAGAGAUAUUUUUGGUUGUCUGGGAAAGGAGUUAUUUGUGUUUGCUGGGUAGAGGCCAAGCAUAUUGCUAAAUAUCUACCGACACACACAACAGCCUUCCUCAACAAAUAAUUAUCUGACCUCAGACAUCAAUAGUACUGUUUUUGAGAAACCCUGACUUAGAAAACAGAAAAUUUACAACAUUUUUAUAUAUAUUAUUUAUGGCACUAAAGUUAGUGCUUUUCUGACUUUAGAUAUGAAUAUAUUCAUGAUCCCGCUUAUCAAUUUGUUAUUUAUCAAAAUCAGUGGCGCCACAAACUAUUUACUCUAAAUAAUUUUGAAAUAAAAAUUAGAUUAUAAAACAACAUAGGCCAGCGCUGCGGCUCACUAGGCUAAUCCUCCGCCUUGCGGCGCUGGCACACUGGGUUCUAGUCCUGGUUGGGGCAACGGAUUCUAUCCUGGUUGCCCCUCUUACAGGCCAGCUCUCUGCUAUGGCCCGGGAAGGCAGUGGAGGAUGGCCCAAGUCCUUGGGCCCUGCACCCUCAUGGGAGACCAGAAGAAGCACCUGGCUCCUGGCUUCGGAUCAGCGAGAUGCGCGGGCCGCAGCGGCCAUUGGAGGGUGAACCAACGGCAAAAAGGAAGACCUUUCUCUCUGUCUCUCUCUCUCACUAUCCACUCUGCCUGUCAAAAUUUAAAAUUUAAAAUAAAUAAAUUGGAAAUUACAUAGAAAAUUAAUCAAUUUUUUUAAAAAAUAUCAUGUAGGAUCUCUGUCAUUAAUGUGCUGUACAUUGUUAUUUAAUUCUAUAACUAGUACUCCAACAGUAUUUUUUCACUUUGUGUUGCUAUUUGAGGGCAAACUUGAAAUCUUUGUAUAUACUAAACUGAUUUUCUGUAUAUAAAGAGAAUUGAAAAUGAAUCUUGAUGUGAAUGGAAGGGGAGAGCGAGCAGGAAAGGGGAGGGUUGCGGGUGAGAGGGAAGUUAUGGAGGGGGGGAGCCAUUGUAAUCCA